UACGGGGGGAGCAAGCGUUGUUCGGAUUUACUGGGCGUAAAGGGCGCGUAGGCGGCGUAACAAGUCACUUGUGAAAUCUCCGGGCUUAACUCGGAGCGGUCAAGUGAUACUGUUGUGCUAGAGUGCGGAAGGGGCUACUGGAAUUCUCGGUGUAGCGGUGAAAUGCGUAGAUAUCGAGAGGAACACCUGCGGCGAAGGCGGCUCACUGGCCCGGUACUGACGCUGAGGUGCGAAAGCGUGGGGAGCAAACAGG
rnacentral:rRNA from 1 species